UCUCCCGACUAACGUACCAUCGUACUGUUGACGUAUUUUUUGAGUGACCCGUGCACUUAGCAACAAUAUCGAUUCAAACUUUUUGAAGAAAACAUUUCAAAACUUCUCCGCUUGCACCAUUCUUCUCGAAUGGUCCGAAUUCUCAAAAGUUAACGACCUUGUUUGACAAAAACUAAAAGUUCGCGAUUGGAGAAAGUGAAAGAAAGAAUGUUAGUAAACAGUAUUUCUGCUCUGCAGCUGUCUGGAAGAUUGCUGAUGGCAAUGAACUUUUCUAGAUUUUGUCUGUUGGAUGAUUAUGCUCUAGCUCAAAUCUCCAGCAAACAGCAGGUGAUGACAGCAGACUGGGUUCAAACUCAACUAUUGAGAGACAGUACAAAGCACAUGUCUCACAACUAGAUGGCAGAGUACAUGACAAUUCACAGUAA